CUAUCCUAUGUUACACGUGUCAUAGGAAACUGCCAACCACAAGUUGGAGGAAGGUGGGGAUGACGUCAGGUCCGCAUGGCCCUUAUGCCCAGGGCAACACACAUGGUACAAUGCUGAAGACAACGGGAAGCGAAACCGCAAGGUGGAGCAAAUCCCUUAAACUUCAGCUCAGUUCGGAUUGAGGACUGAAACUCGUCCUCAUGAAGCCGGAAUCGCUAGUAAUCGCCAAUCAGCUAUGUGGCGGUGAA
rnacentral:rRNA from 1 species